UACAGAGGUCUCAAGCGUUGUUCGGAUUCAUUGGGCGUAAAGGGUGUGUAGGUGGCGCCGUAAGUCGGGUGUGAAAUUUCGGAGCUUAACUCCGAAACUGCAUUCGAUACUGCGGUGCUUGAGGACUGGAGAGGAGACUGGAAUUUACGGUGUAGCAGUGAAAUGCGUAGAUAUCGUAAGGAAGACCAGUGGCGAAGGCGAGUCUCUGGACAGUUACCGACGCUGAGGCACGAAGGUCAGGGGAGCAAACGGG
rnacentral:rRNA from 1 species